GGAAGUCGAAUUGAGACUCAGACUUCUUUUUCCUGAGCCCUGACCAAGAAGUAUUUGCAUACAUUCAUAAAAAUAACAAAUUUAUAGCAAAAAGAUAAAACAUGGCAAGCAUAUGAGUGUGUGUAUGUAUGAGAAAUAUGAGACUGUGCAAAACUUCCAGCAAAGCAUAAAUUCAUUUUGCAUCCAGAGAAUCAGAUUUGGGGCGAAGGGAAGUUUUUUUCUUUUCUUCUUUUUUUUUUUGGUCAAAAACACACGCCUAGAUGUUGAUGUUAAUAUUAUAGUUUCUUAAACAACUGACUGCAGCACAAAACAUGUUGGUUAUGCUCUAAUUUUGUAUACUCCUCUAGUUAAAAGAAACUUCUGAGUCACUUCUGAAGAACAGAAAGGCUUUUGUUUUGGCCUAAUAAUCUCUGUACUUCCGGUGUGAUGUAAGCACAUUGACGUUCCAGCUGAAGUGCUGAGCACGCAGAUGCGGAAGGCGCAAACAGAGAAGAAUCACAAGAGGAAAAAAGGAAGAAGUGUGUUUCUGCUUCACCAGGAAAAAAUUGUGAAUGAUUAUACAGUCAGUUGGUUGGAAACAAGCUGGAGAUCAGAGAAGUUUAUUGGAGGAGCUUCCUCCUCUUCUUUAUCAACUGUUUGGUGUUUGAUCGCGACAACAAGCUUUUCUAAACUGGCCACUGUAGACCUUGUUGGAAGGUCUACCUCCCCUCUAGCCCGGAGAACACGGCUUCCAUGAUUGUCUUCAUGCAUGUCACAUCUGGACUGGUGUAAUCACAAAAUAGUCAAACGCUGCAUUUUCAAAACUGUUGGAAAUCUGAUUUUUGGGCUGUGGACGGAAGCAGGAGUGCCUGGAGAAAGCCCACAUAUGCGCAAGAACAACAUGCAAACUCCAGACAGGAAGAACUGGUCCAUGAUUUGGACCAGAGCCUUCUCUCUGUGCGGUGAGAGCACCAACGGUGCAGCUACCGUGCAGCUCCACAUAUACGCAGCUGGAGAUUGUAAGGCUGUCUCCUGUUGAAGACCAAACACAAGUCAUCUUAGUCAGUCACUGGACUUAAUUCUGGCUGAAUAUUUUAAAUGAAUUGAGUGAAUCAUGUUCUUUAGAUUAAGAUAUUGUUUCAUUAUCUGUGGGUUGUUGGUGUGAUUUCUGAAGACUUCUAGUUUCAUUCUAUUUGAUUUCAAGCGUGCUUUAAAAAACUGAACAGAAUUUAGGUUGAAGUUGUUUCAGUUUUCCACCUGAACUCCUAAACAUUAAUCUUUCAGGACUCCAGCAUAGCGUUAUCAGCACAAAAGGAGGACAUUUUGGCUCCACGUAUGAAAUAAAACAUGGUUUUUAAAGUUGGAUUGGACUAAACCUUUUUUUUUUAAUCUGUAUUAAGGACAAACUGUUGUGUUUUCAUGACUUCAUACACCAUGAUGUUUUUAAAGACACUGAUUAUAUGUUGAGUUAUUUUAAAAGCAUUCUCAGUGGUUCAUUAUAAAUUCGCCUCUAAAUUGUGGACG